AUUGAACGCUGGCGGCAUGCCUUACACAUGCAAGUCGAACGGCAGCGGGCCUUCGGGUGCCGGCGAGUGGCGAACGGGUGAGUAAUGCAUCGGAACGUGCCAUUGAGUGGGGGGAUAACGUAGCGAAAGUUACACUAAUACCGCAUAUUCUGUGAGCAGGAAAGCAGGGGACCGCAAGGCCUUGCGCUCUUUGAGCGGCCGAUGUCAGAUUAGCUAGUUGGUGAGGUAAAGGCUUACCAAGGCGACGAUCUGUAGCGGGUCUGAGAGGAUGAUCCGCCACACUGGAACUGAGACACGGUCCAGACUCCUACGGGAGGCAGCAGUGGGGAAUUUUGGACAAUGGGCGCAAGCCUGAUCCAGCCAUGCCGCGUGAGUGAAGAAGGCC
rnacentral:rRNA from 1 species